CACGUAGUUAGCCGUGGCUUAUUCAAGGGGUACCGUCUUCUGCUCUUCCCCCUUAAAAGAAGUUUACAACCCGAGAGCCUUCUUCCUUCACGCGGCGUUGCUGGGUCAGACUUGCGUCCAUUGCCCAAUAUUCCCCACUGCUGCCUCCCGUAGGAGUCUGGGCCGUAUCUCAGUCCCAAUGUGGCCGGCCAACCUCUCAGUCCGGCUACUGAUCGUCGCCUUGGUGGGCCGUUACCUCACCAACUAGCUAAUCAGACGCGAGGCCAUCUUCCAGCGAUAAAUCUUUGACAUUCAAGCCAUGCGAUUCAAAUGUAUCAUGCGGUAUUAGCAGUCGUUUCCAACUGUUGUCCCCCUCUGGAAGGCAGGUUCCUCACGCGUUACUCACCAGUCCGCCACUAAGUGUUCCCAUCCAUUGUCCGAAAACUCUUUCAGGGGCACUCCGUUCGACUUGCAUGUGUUAGCACGCCGCCACGCGUCGUCCGUCGUCGUCCGACGGAGUACGAACUACUACUCGUACG
rnacentral:rRNA from 1 species